rnacentral:lncRNA from 1 species
UCUAUCUUUGAUUGAUAAUGUGAAAGAGGGUUAUAUUUGAUCAUGAAAAGGGGAUUAGUAUCACGCCCCAAAAUGGAUUGAGACGUGGCCGGCGCCCAAUGCCUAUCAACUUGCACAGAGCGAACCGUAAUGAUGUAGUACAUGCCCAAUUCGCAUCCACGAUCCAAUUUAUUAAUCAAUCAACAACGUUUAACGAAUAAAGUGAACUAAAUACCAUUUCAAUUAGAGUCUAUAACCCAAAAUAUUACGUAGUUCAUCUGUGAACCCUCUAGGACGCUAUGAAUAAAGGGAUAAAAUAACGGGUCUAGCCCGCAUACAAGAGGAAGUAAUUGAAUAGAGUAUUCUAACGAAGUCAAAGGCGGGCUCUAAAAGCAUAAAGCUACAGGAAUCCUAGCUCGUACACUGACCGUCCUGCGCCUGACCAACCGCUCAACCUAACACCAUUUAAACAAAUGAUGCUUGAGUAUCAAAAUACUCAGAUAUGCAUCGUAGCCGCCACUCGUGGUGGGGCAAGCGUUAUACAGAUAUAAAGAAUAUAUCAGAUGCAUAAAAGAUAAAUUAAAUAACUAGUUUAAUUUAUCGAAGCAGAUAAUGUGAACUCAAUUUAAGAUGCAUGAGAGAUAAAUCAAGUAGAUAGUUUAAUUUAUCAAGCAUGUAAAGAAACACAAGUCAAUUAAAGCAUGUUUCGGAUUCUUAAGACCAUUCAAGUGUCAUCUAACUUAUAAUUUCAGUGACAAACUCAAAGUAUCACAACAUUAGUCUGUUAUAUGACAAUAAAACACAGACACCUUCCAUCCGUGUUUCAAUAUUAUGCACACAAAUGGUGCUGGAAUAUAUCGGGAUGCCAUCCACAAUGACUGCCGUACAUCCCCAAACAGUUAGGCCAAUGUAUACCGUCAAAGAUCCAAGACGGCUGCCAUACUAGACAAAUCACAUUCUUUGGUUUCUCUUUUCAAAAUCAUGGCCAUUGGUCGAAAAUCAUUUCUUUAUGUAGUACAUCAAGGACCCAAGAAGGUUGUCGUACAACUCCCGCACUUGUAGACGACACACGCUUGUCGCUAUGUAUAUUAUUUCGAGUCAUGGCCUAAUAGAUGAAUUUCCCUUUAUUAAUGAAGUGUCCAAUUUCAUGUGUUAAGUGAAAAUCAAGAGAUACGAGCACAACAAUAUGUUCGAAAGCAUGUUAAAACACUUCAUGCACAUCAUAUAAAUAGUAUGGUGCAUUACGCUAUAGCACAGAGAUUAAAAAUCAUAGACACUUUUUUAUAUAACUCAAAACGUAGCAUUUUAGGCGAUUUUAUCGUUUAGUCCCAACCAAAGAGUAAACCAUGCAAGAUUGUCCGUCACAUGCAUGUAAUCUCAUCAAGUUACUAUACCGAAACUACAUAUUAAUUUUGAGAACACACAAGAAGGUAGAAGCUAAGCAUACCUCGAAAUCUCUUUAAAUAAGCUAAAUAUCGCGCCGGUUGUCCAAUGAUGCCCAACAAUGUCAAUCUACAUAUAUAAAUUCAUGGAUGUCAAUAACGUGUCACAUCGCUACUAAUUUAACCAAGUGUUCUACACUUAGACUUAGUUUCCAAAAAUUCCAUAAUCCUCCGUUUUUAGGUGAUACCAUGGUUAAUCACCUUAAAUAAUUCCAACAAUUGCGUCAAUACAUUCAUUAGUGUCGUAUAAGUUUUCCAUUAAAAACCCAUAAGCACUAUUCAUCGUCUCCUCACCAACCUCGCAACCUCCAUUAAUGUCAAGUUAGGGCUUUGCACUUAUUGUCAAUCCAACCACCAGCCAACUCAAAUAAUACCUUUUACAACCAUAUGUACUCAUAAAUAACUCAUAUUUAUUGUUCACAAGUGUAGAAAUUAGCUUCUUGAAUAAAAACUAAAAAAUCAACUUUAGGGAUUUUAAAGCACCUUGGUGUUCUUGUUGAAAUCUAGCCAAUCCAAAGAUAUAUUGAUGUAAGUGUUAACUAACUUUAAUUAACACAAAAUAUAGGACAAAACUUACCUUGGAUGGCGUUGGAAGGGGUCUUGGCCGAGAGCUCUUGAAGAACUAAACUUAGCUAUUUGUUUGGUUUCUUUGCAACUGUAAAGACCCAACUACAGAGGAAAGGUAUUUUAUGUCUAAUGGCUACUGAUUUGUUUGGACCCCACUUAAUUGGAAAAACUUAUCAUUUUGAGUGAUUAGGAAAUAGCAUUAUGUAUUUAAGUUCAAUUUGGUCUUUAGCUGCUCUAUGACGCAUCUUUUAUCAGAAUGGUUAUACCAUGGAAAGAUUGGGGACCAUCUUUCAAAAAUGAACCCGGACGCAUUUCUUGCGUGGCCGAACCCAUAGAUCUUGAUGUAUGCCUAUCUUUUACUUGGACUACAAAAAUGCAUUCUUCGAGAUCCC